GUGUGUGUGUGUGUGUGUGUGUGUGUGUGUGUGUGUUGGGGAGCGCGCGCGCACACACACACACACACACACACAG
rnacentral:miRNA from 1 species